GGCCCCGUAGCUCAACUGGAUAGAGCAGCUGACUUCUAAUCAGCAGGUUGAGGAUUCGAGUUCUUCCGGGGUCGCCA
rnacentral:tRNA from 5 species